AGGUUGUGCCCUUGAGGCGUGGCUUCCGGAGCUAACGCGUUAAGUCGACCGCCUGGGGAGUACGGCCGCAAGGUUAAAACUCAAAUGAAUUGACGGGGGCCCGCACGAGCGGUGGAGCAUGUGGUUUAAUUCGAUGCAACGCGAAGAACCUUACCUGGUCUUGACAUCCACAGAACUUUCCAGAGAUGGAUUGGUGCCUUCGGGAACUGUGAGACAGGUGCUGCAUGGCUGUCGUCAGCUCGUGUUGUGAAAUGUUGGGUUAAGUCCCGCAACGAGCGCAACCCUUAUCCUUUGUUGCCAGCGGUCCGGCCGGGAACUCAAAGGAGACUGCCAGUGAUAAACUGGAGGAAGGUGGGGAUGACGUCAAGUCAUCAUGGCCCUUACGACCAGGGCUACACACGUGCUACAAUGGCGCAUACAAAGAGAAGCGAACUCGCGAGAGCAAGCGGACCUCAUAAAGUGCGUCGUAGUCCGGAUUGGAGUCUGCAACUCGACUCCAUGAAGUCGGAAUCGCUAGUAAUCGUGGAUCAGAAUGCCACGGUGAAUACGUUCCCGGGCCUUGUACACACCGCCCGUCACACCAUGGGAGUGGGUUGCAAAA
rnacentral:rRNA from 1 species